GAAACCUCUUGAGCAAAAGGUGACAGAUAAAUUGGGCAGAUGGGUCAGAUCACUUAGGCCUCCCAUUCUCCUACCUCAGCCUCCCGAGUAGCUGAGAUUACAGGCACCUGCCACCACGCCCAACUAGUUUUUAUAUUUUUAGUAGAGACAGAGUUUCACCAUGUUGGCCAGGCUGGUUCUGAACUCCUGACCUCCAAUGAUCUGCCCGCCUCUGCCUCCCAAAGUGCUGGGAUUACAGGUGUGAGUGACCGACCGCACCUGGCCAAGUUAGUCUCUAAUUUUUCUAAGCCUUGGCUCCUUCUAAAAUAAGAAACUUGAAGUAAAUUUGUAAUUUAAAAUUCGGGCCUGUUAAUGGAACUAUAUAAGACAUAUUUUUGAACCAUGGAUGCCCUCGCUUAAUCAUGAACUUAAAUCUUUCUUUAGUUUUUUCCAUCAUGUAUUCUAGAAAGAUUUGUCUUUACACAUCUGUAUGCAACAAGACUCUUUUGCAUGGCAAAGUCUUCACAUGAUCUAUCUGUCUUCUCUCUCACGUUUCAGCCUCAACUCCUGCAACCACUUACCCCAAAACCUCCGCCACUGGCCCUUUAUGCCAGGAAAGCUGAACAUCACUGAAAGGCCCAUCUUCUGCUUUUGCUUUUAUAUUCCCUUUGCCUGAAAUUUCCUUCCCCUUUUGUCCAUGUGGUAAACUCCCACUCAUUCUCCAGGAUCCAACCAGGCCAACUUCUCUUCUGUGAAGCCUUUCUUUGCCCUCCUGAACAGAGUUAUCACCCAUCUUCUAUUCUUCCUGCUCACCUUGUUUUAAAAAACAAGUAAUCGAUCAAAUAUGUGAAUAUUCUUACAUUUCUGUUGUUAUUUUGCAUGUAUGUCUCCCCUACUAAAUUAAUAAGUUCCUUAAGGGCCAGAGACUGAGGUUCAUUCAUCUCUUUAUCCAGACACAGUAGCUAGCACAUAACAUGGACUCAGGAAAGGUUUGCACAUGCAUGAUAGACUGAACCAGUGACCUUCCUGCAUGGACUAAAAACUUAAGAACUCAUCUCUGAAAGGAAUAGCCUUCCAUUUAAAAGGCAAAGGGAGUUCACAUUUGUAUCAAAUGAAAUUACAGUCUUACUUAUAGAUAUGCCUGGCUUUGCUUGUGUCUAGGAAGAUAAUGCAGGGCUUUGAGAAGUGGGGUGAGAUUAAGGAGAAAUUAUACAGUAAGCGAACAUUUUCCCCAAAAUAUAUGCCUGUGGUAAUAAGUUGUUAUAUGUUGAGUGACUUUUUCUCUUCUAGUCAGAGAGCUGACAAAUAUUUUCAAAGUGUUAUAGUGUUUUCUAAGUGUUAUUCUUUCACUGACAAUUUUAUUUAAUAAUUUUAGAUACAGUAGUGGCUCUAGAGCUAACUGAAUUACUGGCUUAUAUGUAAUUCAGCUAGUAUAUUCAUAUUGACAGUAUAGGAGAGAUGAUUACCAGCUCACAAAGAAUGCAUGACGCGAUGCCAUUUGAAGAAUUGAAAAUGGAAGGAAGGGGGUAUGUGAAUUUAGAUAACUCAACCCUAGAGUUCUGGCCUAUUAGCCCUUUGGUUUUAGUUUUAUAAAAUUAUACAUGCUGUUAAAGAGUCAAAUAGAUCCUUAAGGCUAAUUGUGAGAAACAGUAUUUCUGCUUGUUUCCCAGAGGUAACGACUUUCAACAAUCUUAGCAGAUUAUGUUACUACUUGCCUCUAAAUAAUUUGAUAAUGUUGAUGCUUCUUGGAUUUUGUUCGAUUUCUUCUGAUUUCUUCAGUAGGAGAUGAGACUUUAGUUCCCUUUCACACAUUCAUAUCCCCUUUCUGUUCCCCCAUUCUACCUGAGAAAUAAAAAUAAAUUCCUAAGCCUCCCAACCAACUGAACAUACCCCGUUUUGGCCAGAAGGACCCUGGAGAAACCCUAAAAACUGAGUUUCCAGCUGUGAUGGGAUAGGAAGUUGGACCUGCCUUAUUCUACCUCCGCCCUCGCUAGCCACCAUUCGGUGUUCUUUCCCAAGGGCUAAAUGGAAACCAGCCCUUUAGAAAGACUUCCUGCACCUCUGAUUUCAACCAAUCUCCUGACUGCACCUCCAUUUUUAUGUUUCAAAUGCAGCAACUGGUCAGCAUUUCUUCCUGAUAAGAGACCACACUGACUGUGGAGUGGUUCUGCCAGUCUACAGAGGCUGUGCACAGAGGCCUUUCAUGUCCUCGCUUUACCUUUUGAUGUACAGGGCCUACUUGUAAUACAUUUAAAUGUUAAGUCUCUACCCCAAAGUGAGCAUGGUGUGCAGACUGUAUACAUAUUAGCCUACUACGCCUGCUUGUGCUUCCCCUUCAUGAAUAUUCAUAACUCCUCCUAUAACCUGUUGAAUGUAUAUACUUAGCCAACCCACUCAGCAUAAAUUCCCAUUCCCUUUAACCCUCCCUGGCAGUGCCUAUUUCCAGCUUCUGGCCAGAGGCUAUCCUUCCCAGUCUGUCAGAAUGGCUACCUGCAGGCUGCAACCCUUUAUGAGAAAUAAAGCUCUCCUUUCCAGACUUAGGAACCUUGUCAUUCUUCAGUUGACCUACCGUUAUAGGUUUUCAAAUUACUUUGUCUAUAUAAAUACCACUCAGAUAAGCCAUGUAGUAUACUGUGAUUACUUUUUUUCCCCUAAUGUUUUUUAUUUCCUUUGGAGCUUAUUUUCUUAUUUUUUCUUUGAUUAGUUUUCAGUGUGCUUAUAACUAAUUUCAUCCUAAAUUCUCUACCAGUUAUCUAAUCACCUCUCAAGAUAUUCAGACAUGUUAGAUAUACAAUAAAUUACAUAUCGGGUAUUCACACAAUUUCAUCUUUGGGAGAAAUCUCUCCUAGAACUUCUGAUCUGCUGCAGUCUGUCAUAUUGUUUUCUAUGGCUUUACCAUAAUCCUAGGGAUUUCCAUAAUUUCUCUUAUGUUGAAACCUCUAUUUUCUAGAUAAAUCCUCACAAAGAAUGCAUGACAUGAUGUCUUCCUCUUUCUCAGUGUUCUCCCUUGUUUUGUUGGAGCAUAUCCUUCUAUAGCUUCCUAAGAAAGCAUGCAUGGAGAUAAAUUUUUGAGACCUUGUAAAUCUGAAAAUUAUCUUUAUUCUUCUCUGACUGAAAUGGAAUGUUAGGCUGGAAACAAUUUUCCUUAAGAUUUUGAAAUCAUUGUUCUAUUAUAUUUUAGCUUCCAGUGUUACUGAAAAAUCUAGAGAUAUUUGAUUCCCCCUUUUUGUAUGUGAAAUAUUAUUUACUUAUUUUGCUUUGCCUUGCUUUUUAUUUUUAGAAAUUUGUAGGAACUGUAUUUGUGCCCAAUGUUCUGAAAUCUCAGACUGAUAAGUCUGUUUUUAUCUGUUGUGCUCGGCACUCAAUGGAUCUUUUUAACCCAAAAGCUCAAAUCAUUAAGUUCUGGGAAAAUUCCUUGAAUUACUUCAUUAAUGGUUUACUCCCUUUUAUUUUUUUUUAUAUCUCUUCCUGGACUACUAUCGUUUAGAUAUUAGGUUUCCUGUACUGCUCCUGUAAUUUUCUUACUUCUUCUCUCCUGUUUUCUAUCUCUUUGUCUUUUUGUUCUACCUCUGGAGAGAUUUGCUUACCUUCAUCUUCUUGCCCUUGUGUUUUUCAUUUUGGCUUUCAUAUUUUUAAUUUCUAAGAGUUCUUUUUCUCUGAAUAGCAUCUUAUUGUUCUAUGUGUGUAAUAUCUUCUCUUUUCCACUUGAGCAUAUUAAUGAUUUUUGAAAUUUUUAUUGUUGUUUUUGUUUUGGACUUGAUAUAUCAUUUGUAUUAGAAGCUUUUCUUAGAAGUUUGGAGAUACCCGAUUGUAUAUUUGUUUUUUUUUUAUUAUUCUUUAAGUUCUAGGGUACAUGUCCACAACGUGCAGGUUUGUUACAUAUGUAUACAUGUGCCUUGUUGGUGUGCUGCACCCAUUAAUUCGUCAUUUACAUUGGGUAUAUCUCCUAAUGCUUUCCCUCCCCCUUCCCCCGACCCCACAACAGGCCCCGGCGUGUGAUAUUCCCCUUCCUAUGUACAAGUGUUCUCAUUGUUCAAUUCCCACCUAUGAGUGAGAACAUGCUGUGGUGUUUGGUUUUUUGUUCUUGAGAUAGUUUGCUGAGAAUGAUGGUUUCCAGCUUCAUCCAUGUCCCUACAAAGGACAUGAACUCAUCCUUUUUUAUGGCUGCAUAGUAUUCCAUGGUGUAUAUGUGCCACAUUUUCUUAAUCCAGUCUAUCAUUGAUGGACAUUUGGGUUGGUUCCAAGUCUU
rnacentral:lncRNA from 10 species